CUUUUAGUCCCUUAGGUAGUAGGAUCUGAUUCAACCUUCUGUCUCCUUUAAUGCUGUGACUAUCAAUAGCUUUCCCCUUUCUAACACAGGUGGAAGGGCUACAUAGGAAUAUACAGUUUUAGGAGUUCCAUAGUCUCUAACCACCAUCCUUUUGCAUAGCCCCUGUUGUGGCCCAUGUGCCCCUUUUUUCAUCAGACUUAUACAGAAAAGAGAGAGCAGGUCAUGUAGAGCUGACUGUAGCUGAAUUUUAGAAUGAGCUUCAUGUUUGUUUGUUUGUUUGUUUUUUUAAUAUUAAGCUGGGGAAUGGAUUGAAGGAUUAGGAAAUGUUAUAACGGUGAUACUAGUAUUUCUGAGAAGUGCAAUGAACGCUUUAUCCAUAACACUUAAAAUACUACCAUUGUUUAUGUAUUUACUCGGAGAGAAAGCUGUAUGCAGAUAGAAGAAUUUCUUUGUGUACAGCACUAGAAAUGUUAAGCCUGUUUUUCAUCCCCUCCUAUUUUUCAUUCUUUGCAGACAGUUAGGACAAGAGCAGUUGCUAAAGAAACUGUUCUAAAGAAUGAGGUAACACUAAGCCUAUCUGGAAUAUAUUUUUCAAAAGUUCGGCGUGUUCCCAUUAGUACCAUAAAACAAAAACAAGAAAUACAGAAAAUAACACUCUGAAAGCCCAAAUUCUGAAAAUUUCCAGAAGAAAGACGUUUGAGAAAAUGAGAGAAAUGCCAAGAUCUCAGGAUUCUCACUGUUGAUUAAACCUGUAAAGUUUUUGAAGUUCACAUAGCUGUAAUUAUACUGCCUACUUGCGUUUUCUGAAAGCAGUUUCUGUCACUAACAAAUGUCUUUCUACCAAGCACUUGAUCCACAAAAUAGCUCUGGUUUGCCGUCUAACAACAAAUAAGCAUUUAUUAAUGGAAUCUGCAUGAUCUACCCUAGUAUAGAAAAGUUUUAGCUGGUGCUUAGGACGUCGUGUUGAUACUUUUACAUAAAUGUCAGAUUCAAUCCCCCUUUUAUUACCAAUAAUCUAGGUCCUAAAUUGUUAAGGGGAAAAAAAAUGCAACUAUUUCCUUUUCUUCUUUUUUUACCAAUUAAGAACAGUUAUAUCAAAUAGCCAUUCCUUAAGAUAAAAAGCAUCUGGUUGGCAGAAGUUGCUUGUCAGCAGACAGACCAAGCAACAGCUUAAUUAGUUACAAGGAAGCUCCAUUGACAAAGAGGGAGGAGCCAUUCAAAGCUAAAUAAAUCUGUAACUAAAUUCA
rnacentral:lncRNA from 1 species